GACAGAGGGUGCAAACGUUGUUCGGAAUUACUGGGCGUAAAGCGCGUGUAGGCGGUUCGUAAAGUCGGAUGUGAAAGCCCUGGGCUUAACCCAGGAAGUGCAUUCGAAACUCACGAACUUGAGUCCCGGAGAGGAAGGCGGAAUUCUCGGUGUAGAGGUGAAAUUCGUAGAUAUCGGGAGGAACACCAGUGGCGAAGGCGACUUCCUGGCCUGUUCUUGACGCUGAGGCGCGAAAGCUAGGGUAGCAAACGGG
rnacentral:rRNA from 1 species